CCCCGGCCCCACCGCCUCCCCACGAGCUGGGCCGCCCUCGCCCGGCCACUCGACACACUCGGACGCACGCACAGCCACUCCCAUCCCCAGCGCCGGUCCCCAAGCCACACCGCACGCUCGCGCCCUGCCCUCCGCCCUCGCUCACCCUCGGGCCCAGAUCCCUGGGACCCCCACGCCAGGGUCUUUCCCAGCCUGGCCGACCGCGGGGACCAGGAGGGAGGCGGCCACGGUGGGGUGGCCUGGGAGGGAGUUUUCAUUCUAAUCUCCAUUCUACAGAUGAGGAAGUUGGGAUCCAGAGAGGCAUAGUGAUCUGACUCCCAGUCCAGUGCUCUUCCUACCACAUCCUGCUAAAUGAUACCCAGACAUAGAUAAGAAAACAAAGGCCUAAUGAGAUCAAGUACCCAAGGCCACAAGGUGAAGAAGUUGGAGUCACCUGGUUCAUUCUGACUGUAAAGCCCCACCACAUCACUAGCAGGAGAAGAUGGAGAAGCAUCAUCAUGUGACAUAAAAAAUCUGAAGCAAAAAAUUGGCAUUAUCAAGACUGCAGGCACCCAAGAGUCUUCACAAGCCAUCCUGACCCCCUUGCAAGAAUGUCAGGAGAUUUUGUUGGGUUUCUUGUGAUUCUAUUCACAGAUUCUUGUGAUGACAAUGGUGGGGAGUCUGGCUGAAAUCACUGUUAUUCUUAUCCACUUCCCCUGAGUGGUCCUUAAUUACAGAGACAAGGUAGAAGCCAAGAAGGCAAGGGUUAGAGAACAAAAGCGCUAUGGGAAUGCAGAAAGACAUCCUAAAUCUGCCUGAAGGAGAAUAGGCUUCAUCACUGUCACUGUCACUUCUCACCCAAACAGUCCCUGUGAGUGGGUAGAGAAACUGAGGAGACAUCUCUGGGUUUUUCCUGCAGGUCUUCUUGUCAUUCAAUUGUUCAGCAUUGCUCUGAAUACAGAAGUAACAUUUUUCUUGAUCUGUCAGCAAAUGGAAAUUUUCAGCCGCAAUUCAAAAAUUUCUCCAAGGGUUUUACCUCAUAAAGGAGUGUACCAAAGAAAUAGCUUCUCUGAGUGAGACAAUCACGUGUAAAUGGAAGUAGGAGGUAUAGCAUAGUAAUUAAGAGUGUAGGCUCUGGAACCAAACCAUCUGGGUUUGCAUCCUAGCUCUGCUAUUUGCCAGCAAUAUGAACUUGGCCAAAUUACUUAACUUCUUGGUGCCUCCGUUUGAUCAUCUGUAACAUGGAGAUCAAAUUUUUAUCUGCUUCAUAAGGUUGUUGUAAGAAUAAACUGGGUUCAUAGAUGUGA